rnacentral:ncRNA from 2 species
UGAAGCCGCGCGGGAGAGACCGGGCCACCACCAGCGCGCCCGGCGCCGAAGGAGCAAAGCCUCCCCGGAACCUCUCAGGCACCCUGGACCGCGCGGACGAG